rnacentral:rRNA from 1 species
AGUGAACGCUGGCGGCAGGCCUAACACAUGCAAGUCGAACGAGUGGCGGACGGGUGAGGAAUACAUGGGAACCUCCUUUAUCGUGGGGGCUAACGUAGGGAAACUUUCGCAAAUACCGCUUACGAUCGAGUGAGCCGAUGUGGGAUUAGCUAGUUGGUGGGGUAAAGGCGCACCAAGGCGACGAUCCGUAGCUGGUCUGAGAGGGUGAUCAGCCACACUGGAAACGAGACACGGUCCAGACUCCUACGGGAGGCAGCAGUGGGGAAUAUUGGACAAUGGGCGCAAGCCUGAUCCAGCCAUCCCGCGUGGGUGAAGAAGGGCUUCGGGUUGUAAAGCCCUUUUGUUGGGAAAGCGGUACCCAAAGAAUAAGCACCGGCUAACUACGUGCCAGCAGCCGCGGUAAUAC